UUUUUUGGAAUCCCUUAAAAUUUUUGGGCCCCCCCGCGCGUUAMCAUGGMAGGACCCAAGGGAGUAAUUCCUUGGCCGAAAGGUCUGGGUAAUCUUGUUAAACYCUGUCGUGCUGGGGAUAGAGCAUUGCAAUUAUUGCUCUUCAACGAGGAAUYCCUAGUAAGCGCAAGUCAUCAG
rnacentral:rRNA from 1 species